AGAGUUUGAUCCUGGCUCAGAUUGAACGCUGGCGGAAUGCUUUACACAUGCAAGUCGAACGGCAGCACGGGUGCUUGCACCUGGUGGCGAGUGGCGAACGGGUGAGUAAUGUAUCGGAACGUACCCAGUAAUGGGGGAUAACACAUCGAAAGAUGUGCUAAUACCGCAUACGCCCUGAGGGGGAAAGCGGGGGAUCGUAAGACCUCGCGUUAUUGGAGCGGCCGAUAUCGGAUUAGCUAGUUGGUGGGGUAAAGGCCCACCAAGGCGACGAUCCGUAGCUGGUCUGAGAGGACGACCAGCCACACUGGAACUGAGACACGGUCCAGACUCCUACGGGAGGCAGCAGUGGGGAAUUUUGGACAAUGGGGGAAACCCUGAUCCAGCCAUUCCGCGUGAGUGAAGAAGGCCUUCGGGUUGUAAAGCUCUUUCGCAAGGGAAGAAAACUUAUCUACUAAUACUAGGUGAGGCUGACGGUACCUUGAUAAGAAGCACCGGCUAACUACGUGCCAGCAGCCGCGGUAAUACGUAGGGUGCGAGCGUUAAUCGGAAUUACUGGGCGUAAAGCGUGCGCAGGCGGUUUGAUAAGCCAGAUGUGAAAUCCCCGGGCUCAACCUGGGAACUGCGUUUGGAACUGUCAGGCUAGAGUGUGUCAGAGGGAGGUAGAAUUCCACGUGUAGCAGUGAAAUGCGUAGAGAUGUGGAGGAAUACCGAUGGCGAAGGCAGCCUCCUGGGAUAACACUGACGCUCAUGCACGAAAGCGUGGGGAGCAAACAGGAUUAGAUACCCUGGUAGUCCACGCCCUAAACGAUGUCUACUAGUUGUUGGUGGAGUAAAAUCCAUCAGUAACGCAGCUAACGCGUGAAGUAGACCGCCUGGGGAGUACGGCCGCAAGGUUAAAACUCAAA
rnacentral:rRNA from 1 species